rnacentral:misc_RNA from 1 species
GAUGAAGAACGCAGCGAAAUGCGAUAAGUAAUGUGAAUUGCAGAAUUCAGUGAAUCAUUGAAUCUUUGAACGCACAUUGCGCCCUUUGGUAUUCCUUAGGGCAUGCCUGUUCGAGCGUCAUUUAAACCUUCAAGCUCAGCUUGGUGUUGGGUGACUGUCCGCCGCCUCCGGGCGCGUGGACUCGCCUCAAAAUUAUUGGCGGCCGGUACAUUGGCUUCGAGCGCAGCAGAAACGCGAACUCGGGCCCGUCGUAUUGGCUCCCAGAAGCUAUCUUCACAAUUUUGACCUCGGAUCAGGUAGGGAUACCCGCUGAACUUAAGCAUAUCAUAAGCGGAGGA